rnacentral:rRNA from 1 species
UACAGAGGGGGCAAGCGUUGUUCGGAAUUACUGGGCGUAAAGGGCGCGUAGGCGGCCUGUUAAGUCGAACGUGAAAUCCCCGGGCUCAACCCGGGAACUGCGUCCGAUACUGGCAGGCUUGAAUUCGGGAGAGGGAUGUGGAAUUCCAGGUGUAGCGGUGAAAUGCGUAGAUAUCUGGAGGAACACCGGUGGCGAAGGCGGCGAUCUGGGUAGAUACUGACGCUGAGGUGCGAAAGCGUGGGGAGCAAACAGG